ensembl:lncRNA
AUGGAGAACGAGGAAGAGGAAGAUGAAAUCUUUACCACAUUUCAGGGAGGAUAUGAAGGGCAGGAAGAGGUGGAGGAGCAGGAGGAAGAAGAAGAACAUGAGGAAGAGGAGCCAGAGUCUGAGAGGAAGAGCAGUUGGGAUGUCCCAAUUCCAAGUCGAUCACUGGCCAGUCGCAGAGCUUCACUUCCGUGUCCGGAUCAACUGAAUGCGAUGCAUCUGAGCCGUCUGCACGCUGCCACCACGAGCCCUAGCCCGGCGUACCUGAGCCACUGGCUUCAGAGCGGUGAGGCGAGGCCGUGCUCUCACUCCAGCCAUGUUGCCAAUAGCGAGGAGGGAGCACACACCAAGAGAAGCGCAUGUGAACAACACCCACAUGCCAUCCCAACCAUCCCUGAGGUGCACGAGCCUCUGGAGAGAAAGGCUCGGUUUAGGAGCCGCAAUGUCAUGUCUCUGAGUGAUGCAGACAGUUUGUGUCUGAUCUGCCAUGACGACCUACGCAAAGGAGGAGGAGUUAUCAGAGAGCUUCACUGUUCCCACAGCUUCCACAGUGAGGUAAAGGUUCAGACUUUAGAAACAAAUUCAACUUCAGAAAUCAAUCAGUGCCAAAUAUAAAUGGCCCAGAAACCUGGACUUUUCAGAUGAGCUAUUUUUUUAGCUGCUGAGCAUUUGUUUUCUCUUAAGAGUUCUUCCUCACUCUCCAUAACCAUCUUAGGGAGUUUCAUACUUGCCAUUGUCCCCUGUGUCUUAUUCACUGGAGUAUUGAGAUACAGUCCUUUGUAAAGCUGCUUUAGAAUGUGUUGAUGAAAGCACUGUACAAAACAACUGAAUGUAACUAAAUAUCGUGCUCCUCUGGUGUAGUGCAUAGAGGAAUGGCUGUGGACCAAGCAGACCUGUCCCACGUGUCAAAAGCGUGUUGCCAUGCCAGAGCCCCUGUACUGGACAUCUACCAGAGUAAUAGUGCCCUGAGCUCUUCCAGCCAGCUCCCAUUCAAACUACCUUGAACAUCAGAUGGCCAACCAAAACAUCAGACAUGAUGGUGGAUAACUGAGUAUGGAUAAAGAACCAGCUACAAAAAAAGGUGGUCAUAUGACUAAUCAGAUUUUGUUAUUCAGGGAAACAGAUUGGUUUUCUUUGUACAUAGGCUAAAGGAUUUUAACAUCACUAAGUGUAAAAUUGUUUUUUUUUUUAAUCAUAUUUACAUAUUAAGAAAAUGUGUUAUUUUCUAUUGUGUUUAUCUUUUUCUGCAGAAAUGUAUGCAAACUGCACAAGCCGUAUGAAGCUGUACAAUUGUAAAUUUUAAAAUGUACCUUACUAUAUUAGUUAUUCAAAGUAGGCCUACUCACAAUGUUCUGUUUUCAAAACAUGUAAUUACUAUCAACAAAAGUGUAGGCCUGCAUUUACCAGGUGUGUAUUUGAGUAAAUGUGCUUUUUUACAAUACUUAAGUACAUUCCACAUUCCUGUGAUGUUUACUAAACUUGAAUUGAAAACAGCCAAUGAAAUCUAUUUCAGUGUUGUCAUCAUAUUUGUCCUUGAGUGUUUUUUUUUACCCAAAGCAGCAGGUUUUAUUUACAUUAUAAACGUCAUUGCAUGUCUGUGAUGAAGUUUAAACAA